AUUGAACGCUGGCGGCAGGCCUAACACAUGCAAGUCGAACGGUAACAGGAAGAAGCUUGCUUCUUUGCUGACGAGUGGCGGACGGGUGAGUAAUGUCUGGGAAACUGCCUGAUGGAGGGGGAUAACUACUGGAAACGGUAGCUAAUACCGCAUAACGUCGCAAGACCAAAGAGGGGGACCUUCGGGCCUCUUGCCAUCGGAUGUGCCCAGAUGGGAUUAGCUAGUAGGUGGGGUAACGGCUCACCUAGGCGACGAUCCCUAGCUGGUCUGAGAGGAGGACCAGCCACACUGGAACUGAGACACGGUCCAGACUCCUACGGGAGGCAGCAGUGGGGAAUAUUGCACAAUGGGCGCAAGCCUGAUGCAGCCAUGCCGCGUGUAUGAAGAAGGCCUUCGGGUUGUAAAGUACUUUCAGCGGGGAAGAAGGGAGUAAAGUUAAUACCUUUGCUCAUUGACGUUACCCGCAGAAGAAGCACCGGCUAACUCCGUG
rnacentral:rRNA from 1 species